AUGAACGCUGGCGGCGUGCCUAAUACAUGCAAGUCGAGCGAACGGACGAGAAGCUUGCUUUUCUGAUGUUAGCGGCGGACGGGUGAGUAACACGUGGAUAACCUACCUAUAAGACUGGGAUAACUUCGGGAAACCGGAGCUGAUACCGGAUAAUAUUUUGAACCGCAUGGUUCAAAAGUGAAAGACGGUCUUGCUGUCACUUAUAGAUGGAUCCGCGCUGCAUUAGCUAGUUGGUAAGGUAACGGCUUACCAAGGCAACGAUGCAUAGCCGACCUGAGAGGGUGAUCGGCCACACUGGAACUGAGACACGGUCCAGACUCCUACGGGAGGCAGCAGUAGGGAAUCUUCCGCAAUGGGCGAAAGCCUGACGGAGCAACGCCGCGUGAGUGAUGAAGGUCUUCGGAUCGUAAAACUCUGUUAUUAGGGAAGAACAUAUGUAUAAGUAACUGUGCACAUCUUGACGGUACCUAAUCAGAAAGCCACGGCUAACUACGUG
rnacentral:rRNA from 1 species